rnacentral:rRNA from 1 species
AACGAACGCUGGCGGCAUGCCUAACACAUGCAAGUCGAACGAGAUCCUUCGGGGUCUAGUGGCGCACGGGUGCGUAACGCGUGGGAAUCUGCCCGUAGGUUCGGAAUAACAGUUAGAAAUGACUGCUAAUACCGGAUGAUGACGUUAAGUCCAAAGAUUUAUCGCCUGAGGAUGAGCCCGCGUAGGAUUAGCUAGUUGGUGUGGUAAAGGCCCACCAAGGCGACGAUCCUUAGCUGGUCUGAGAGGAUGAUCAGCCACACUGGGACUGAGACACGGCCCAGACUCCUACGGGAGGCAGCAGUGGGGAAUAUUGGACAAUGGGCGCAAGCCUGAUCCAGCAAUGCCGCGUGAGUGAUGAAGGCCUUAGGGUUGUAAAGCUCUUUUACCCGGGAUGAUAAUGACAGUACCGGGAGAAUAAGCCCCGGCUAACUCCGUG